AACUAGAUCUGAUGGACAGAAAUUAAUUAUUAUUUUUUCUUUUUAUUUUCCCUUUCCCUUAUCUAUCUUCGUCUCUUUCCUUCCUUCCUCAGUCUUCUUCUUUUUUUUGAUGCCUCAGACCAUCAAUUGAAAGGGUAAAAAAACAUCAAACAUCAACUUCCAUCACGUUUUGCUUCGUUCUCCAAGACUACCAUUUCCGACGAUCUGAGAAAUUGAUGGCAUGAAGGAGAAGUGGUGACGCUGACGUGAUUAAGCGGAGGCGUGAUGAAUCGGAGGCUACGGCGUGACGGAUUGGUUGCCCAUCUCAUCACUGGCUUGAUCUCGUAAAGGUGUCAAGCUCCUCGCUAGAAUCAAGCUCGUCAGUGGUUUCAAGGUCGUUGAUGGUCACCUCGUCACCGGACUCAAGUUCGUUCUUCACCGGAUUGAAAAGCGCCGCCGGUCUCAUCAAAAGUUCGACCUUUUUAUUAUAUUUAUUGUAUUUUUUUUGUUAAAACUCAUUUUGUUAUGUUUCUAUUUAUUGUAUUCUGAGUUAAUUGUAUUGUAUUUGAUGAUUAAUUAAUUUUUAGGAUAAUAUAAUUAA